AAAGUCGGGCAAAUGAUCGCGGCUGCGCAAGCAGGUGAGGAAAGUCCGGGCUUCACAGGGCAGGGUGCCGGCUAACGGCCGGCGGAGGCGACUCCCGGGAAAGUGCAACAGAAAUACACCGCCGGAGGAGGACCGCAGGGGAGACCCGAGGACCGGUCCGCUGACUCCGGUAAGGGUGAAAUGGCAGUGUAAGAGACUACCGCACGUGUGGUAACAUGCGUGGCCAUGUAAACCCCACCCGAAGCAAGACCGAAACGGAACAUAAGGCGGCCCGUCUGUUCCAGGUUGGUCGCUCGAGCCUGCCGGUAACGGCAGGCCUAGACAGAUGAUCAUUCACGACAUAACCCGGCUUAUCGCCCGGCUUUCCGU
rnacentral:RNase_P_RNA from 1 species